GACGAACGCUGGCGGCGUGCUUAACACAUGCAAGUCGAACGGAAAGGCCCUGCUUUUGUGGGGUGCUCGAGUGGCGAACGGGUGAGUAACACGUGAGUAACCUGCCCUUGACUUUGGGAUAACUUCAGGAAACUGGGGCUAAUACCGGAUAGGAGCUCCUGCUGCAUGGUGGGGGUUGGAAAGUUUCGGCGGGUGGGGAUGGACUCGCGGCUUAUCAGCUUGUUGGUGGGGUAGUGGCUUACCAAGGCUUUGACGGGUAGCCGGCCUGAGAGGGUGACCGGCGACAUUGGGACUGAGAGACGGCCCAGACUCGUACGGGAGGCAGCAGUGGGGAAUAUUGCACAAUGGGCGGAAGCCUGAUGCAGCAACGCCGCGUGCGGGAUGACGGCCUUCGGGUUGUAAACCGCUUUCGCCUGUGACGAAGCGUGAGUGACGGUAAUGGGUAAAAAAGCACCGGCUAACUACGUG
rnacentral:rRNA from 1 species